CUGAUCCAGCCAUGCCGCGUGUGUGAAGAAGGCCCUCGGGUUGUAAAGCACUUUCAGCGAGGAAGAACGCCUAUCGGUUAAUACCCGGUAGGAAAGACAUCACUCGCAGAAGAAGCACCGGCUAACUCCGUGCCAGCAGCCGCGGUAAU
rnacentral:rRNA from 1 species